rnacentral:rRNA from 1 species
UACGAGGGGGGCAAGCGUUGUUCGGAAUUAUUGGGCGUAAAGGGCGCGUAGGCGGUGCGGUAAGUCUGAUGUGAAAUCUCCGGGCUCAACUCGGAGUCUGCAUCAGAAACUGCCGUGCUCGAGUGUGGGAGAGGUGAGUGGAAUUCCCGGUGUAGCGGUGAAAUGCGUUGAGAUCGGGCAGAGCACCAGUGGCGCAGGCGGCCAGCUGGGCCGACCCUGACGCUGAGGCGCGAAAGCCAGGGGAGCGAACGGA